AUCGCUUCUCGGCCUUUUGACUAAGAUCAAGCGUAGUAUCUGUUCUUAUCAGUUUAAUAUAAAUACAUGUAAUAACAGCUAACAGUUAUUAAGUACUCUCUAUGUGCAAAGGACUGUUUAAUUGCCUGCCGUUUAUUAAUGAAUGUUGUCCUCAGAACAGCCUUCUGAUGUUAGUAGUAUUGUUAAUCUUCA